rnacentral:rRNA from 1 species
UACGUAGGGUUCAAGCGUUGUCCGGAAUUAUUGGGCGUAAAGAGCUCGUAGGCGGUUUGUCACGUCUGCUGUGAAAACUCGGGGCUUAACUCCGGGCCUGCAGUGGGUACGGGCAGACUAGAGUGCGGUAGGGGAGACUGGAAUUCCUGGUGUAGCGGUGAAAUGCGUAGAUAUCAGGAGGAAUACCGAUGGCGAAGGCAGGUCUCUGGGCUGACACUGACGCUCAUGCACGAAAGCGUGGGGAGCAAACAGG